UGCAAGCAGUGUGCCUGACUAUCAGGAAGGGGUGGAACCAGGAUCCACCCCUUCCCAGACUUCAUUUAAGGGUUGGCAGUGGAAGUGUAGGUGUUUUGUUGGAGGUGUCUGUAUAUCUGAGGUGUUUUAAAGGAUGCCACACUGUGGAACAAGAAUGCGUUUUCUCUUGAAGCUAUUCCACCUCCAAUUAUAUAUGAACAUGUUUCUCUCUACAUGAGCUUGUUUAAUAGUGCCAGAACUUCAUGGAUCAACAAAGGGAUGUUGGCUGGACAAAUAACCAAGUGACUGCUGCUUCAGGCAAGAAAUGCAGGCUCAGAAGUGUGCCUACUCCAUCCAGAGAGAACAGAGCUCAUGUACCUACUGAAUUCAUGGUACUGUGAGGGAGGGACAAACAUUGUUCUAAGAUUUUUCUCAGAACUUGGAUGUGCAUCACAUUUUCACAGUUCUUGGAUGUGCAUCCCUCAUAUACAUAUUUUGCUUCUUGUUUAAGGAGAGACCUUGGAAAAGGCAAAGGCUUCUGAAGCAAGGAAGGCAAAAGAAGCAGCAGCGGGGCAAAAAUAGUGAUUUUACUCCUUGACUUUUGUCUCUUAGAGAAAAUGUUCUAGCAGAAUAUUUCUGUACCGUGGUACUUGCUUGUGCUCUGCUACCCCAGCACGCAUCCAGCUUAUCUGAAUGUAGCUGUAAAUCACAGAAAUAGGAAAUCAAUUGUUGCUGUCUUUGUGUUGCAGUUCUUAAUUCUAGAGGCUUUUGGUACGUGGUGGUUUGCUGGAAGUCAGAUUUCCUUAGCUCUCUGAAGGGACUCAUGGGGUCUAAUGUUUUUCUUGGUGUACAUCUGGAUUGGAAGAAAUAAUGUCUGCUCUUGCCUGGAUGCUUCUCUCUCUGAUGUGAAUUGGUGUUUGGGGAUACCGCUGCUGGCAUUCCAGAAGAGCGGCCAUUUCAAUACCUGACUGCAAGAGAGGGGAUAUGAAGGCUCGUCAUAACACAACAUCAUCAUGACAAUAACCCUGGUCUCAGCUGAAGUUUGGAUGUAGAAGGAAUUCAAUGUGGAACUUCAGUAGCUGCUCUCUGUAAGCAUUUCCCAAGCACUUGGAGCCCUGUGAAUUUUUACUGGUGACACAAGAGAACUGUGUUUGUUAGGGUCUUAGAUGCCUGCCUUAGGGUGAGAUGAAGUGCCUCUGAAGAUGCAUGUUUCUUUCCAAUGAGAUAAAGGAACCCCGGCUUCAGAACAAGACAUCUGAAUUUAAAAUGCUAAAACAUGAAUCCCAACUGAGAUCCCUGGGAAGUCAGUCUGGCAAGGUUCAAGUGAUUUUUACUGUAAUUGUCUAGUCACAGAGAACUGGAUAGCAUUACAUUGUCUAUUCCUUUUUUUUUUUCUUUUUCAUGUUUCCGAAGUGACUUUAUAACCUCUUCUUGUUGAAGCUAAGCUAGGACAAUAACCACACACAGCUUAUAUAUACAUUUAAAGUAACACUUGAGAGUAAGCAAGGGACUACUGACAUAUUUACUGUUAAGCACAUGGCUAAAUUUCUGAAAAGAUGAAACUUGAGGGGAUUAGCUUAUAUGCUUAGGCAGUAAACUGAUUUCUUAAUGUAUGGAGUAUGCUUGGGAUUCUGGACAUGCCUAACAAUGCAGAGAGUGAACAAAAAAUAGACUUCUUCAAAGACACAGCAUCUAGAGAGAGCCAAAGGCAGAUGUCACUUCAUCAACUCCUUGAAGCCCCUUAUGGAAGAAGUGCGGUUUUGAGAACACAAGUAUUGUUAGAUAGCAUUCAGAAUAGUUGCAGGAAGACUGGCAAGGAAUAAAGACCAGGCAUUCAGUUUGAUGGCUUUAUAUUUGUACUUUGUAAAAAUGUAUUUUGAAAAGCAAGGAGUCUGGUUAUUAGGAUCUAACUUAAUAAUGUUUGUAAUAAUCUCAUGUAGAAUUGUCCACUAUCAAGAUUUUAGUGAUUUGUUGUAGCCAACAGUGACCUUGCUUGCACUCUGUGCUUGUAAUAAUCUUCUAAUUACUAGAGCUCAAAAUCUCUGGGAGUAGUUUUAGAAAUGUCAUGUUCUACUGUCUAGAAGAAUCACUCCAUUUUGCAUAACUGAACACGGACGCCCAGAGGAGUGGGGUUCGGAUGCAUGUUCUGGAGGCAUCUCUAGGUGCUGGAGGGUCACUGCUGUUCAGGUGGUCGUCAUCCUUGGAAGACACUGCGUGUGGAAUCCCUUUCUGGUGUGGUGAUGUGAAGGUUCACUUUCUGUCCUCAUGUCCAGGGUCUGGAUACUUUUUCCUGGCACACAGAGCUGAGUGAAGCUAAGGCUUGCUCCUAUCCUGCAGCUACCCAAGGGCAAGGGCUGAGGUGCCAGCUGGAGCAUGUGACCUGAGCGCAGUCUCCCAUGCUCUGAGAGGCGCUGGGCCAGGUCUUGACUCCCAAAAUAAGAAAGCAAAGCUAAUAAAGUGGAUAUGUAACAAAAUCAGUGUGAAGCAGACUGUGUCAUUGCCUUCUCUCUGAAUAAUGCCAGCAGACAGAAGGAACUAAACCUGCACAUCUGAGUGGGGAGAACUUCUCAUUACCAAAAGCAUUUAAGAGGUGCAGGAAUAAAGCCCUAAUGAUGCCACUGAUAGCUUUUUUUGCAAGAGAAGUAGAUCAGUCUGUGUUAGAGAAGACUGAUAUAAAUCCCCACAAGAAUUUGAGUGAAAAACAGUGAUGCCAUUUUAGAUUUUUGCCCCAUUUUAGACCUAUGUCAUGGUGCUGGGCAUAAACAUCUUGUUCUUUUGGUACAGGUCGCACAGCUCAAUGAAUAAAGGUAGCACAGCAUCUUUUUCCUCUUUCCCAUCCAUUUGUACUCUCCCUGGCAUCAGCUGCAGCACACAUUGCUGUGUGCAUAUAAUCACAUACCGGGGGGGUCAUUGAGUCCCUCCAUGUCUGACACAAGUACAAGGCUGAGUUCUCCAGUACACGUGGAUAAAACCAUGCUAAAAUACAGACCAUGAGAUUCAGUAGAAAGUGAUUUCAGAUGUCUCCCAGCACUGUGCUGGUGUAUAAACAGCUGCAAUUGGAAAUUCUAAGCUACAGAAAAUGGGAGAUGGUAACCUCUUGUGCACAGGAUUUAAAACUAUAGGAUCAUUGACCUCAAAUGGUUUAUGUAGCCUGGGAAAUCGAGAGUUAAGCAGCUUGCAAAGCUACAAAAGCCAGCCACUAGUCUGGAGAAUAGGAGCCUUCUUCUAGUUUUCCUGCUGAUAUUCAAUGUUGUUUCAAUCAAAGUACAGGUAGCACUUGAAGAAUGACAGAUCUUGUGAGCUUUAUAUACCAGAAUAAUGAGAUUAUGCUUCAUGACCCUGCUGCAUUUGACUUUUACAUUAGAGAAUAUGAUUCAGGAAUUCAUUUGAACAAUCCACAAAAAUAAAAUGAGAAGACUUGGAAAAAAAAAAUGCUGGUUUCUUAUUAAUUGUACAUUGUAACUGACUCAUGGGAGAGGAAGAAUCAUAAUGAAGAAAAUCAGAAAUAAAAGAGACCCACAAUGCUAAUGUGAAUCGGUACUAAAAAAUUACAAAAAUAUCAUGAAAAGCAUAGAAAACCAUAUUUCUCUUACUAGAUUUAUUCUUAUAAUAUUAUCACAUUUAAAAAAAUACAAUUUUAGAAAAAAAAAAAAUGAACUAUAGCUUUUUGCAGUGAUAGGCGACAGGUCAGAAAAGCAUUUCAGAAUAAUUUUACACCUUUUAACCUUAAAAAAUACUUUGCUGACAAUUGAGAAAGGGCCUUAAAAGAAGCGCUGAUAGGCAUUCUCACAGCAGGGUUGCCAUGUCCCAUCACAUAGCAGAGGGUUUCUGCAUAAUGUAUCCUGUAAUAAGAAGUGUACUGCAAAUCACAAGGCUUGAGUAGCAGUUUUAAGAAAGUAAUCCUUGGCAUGAGCUGCUAUUAGUGAUGACACUGAAAGUUUGUUACGGAAAACUCUUUAGAAGGCACAAAGAAGGUAAACUGUCUCAAAUUUCGAUUUGAGCCUUGAAAGAACUAGUUUGUCAUAGAAAUUUGUCUGCAUUUGAAUAUAGAUUUAGUGGUCUCUGUCUUUUCAUUUUUGCUUAUGCUUGGACAGCCUUGUUGAACGAAAAGCACAGAGUUUGGCUAAAUGAAGGUCACUUUUCUCUCGUUCUGUGCUGCAAAUGGCAAUUGUUCAAAAAGUGUUUUAACAAUUACCGGUAUUAAUUAUGAGUGCUAAUACAAUUAGUGAUUGCUGAGAG